GCCCGCCUAGCUCAAUCGGAUAGAGCGUCAGACUCUUAACGAGUCCGCAAGCGGGCAUCUCACUGAAUCUGAAGGCUGCGAGUUCGACCCUCGCGGUGGGCU